ensembl:lncRNA
GCUCCCGGCUGCUUUCGCUCGUUGUCCGGCGCUCCCGGCCGGAAUGCCGCGGUUUUCCCUUCAGCGCCGCGCACAGUUCCGCGCAGGGCCACCUUCCCUCCGCGGGUCCCAAGCAGGGCGGCGGCAGCUGGCAUUGCCCGGGCAGUGCCCAGGGGUGAAUGGGACCGACUGUGUGGGCACACCAACUUCAAGGGUUUUCAGAACUUCGGCGGAGGGUGGGCUGCUUUUCUUUCUUUCUUUAAAUAAGGAUAGGAAGGAAUUCCUUCUAUUUGUUCCUUUCGGUACUGUGUAGCUUUUGGCUAUGGAUUUUACAAUGUUAGGGGGUACAGGUAAUGAGAGCGAGAUGGCAGAGUUCAGCUAGCUAUCCGUAGAAAUAGGUAACUUCCCCAAAACCACUUCCCAUUUCUUCUCUGGAAGAAUGGUGAUGCAGUGGCACAGCUGCCCAGGGAGUGGUGGGGUCACCGUCGCUGGAGGUGUUCCAGAACCACGGAGAUGUGGCACUGAGGGAUGUGGGCGGUGGGCACGGUGGGGUGGGCUGGGGUUGGCCUUGGGGAUACUGGUGGUCUUUUCCAGCCGUAAUGGUCCCACGAUCUGAUGAAUCUGUGCAGAUAAAACAUCAGCCAACCUGAGUGGAAACAAACAAGGUCAUAGAAUUAUAGAAUCACAGAACAGUUUGGGUUGGAAGGGACCUUUAAGAUCAUCCAGUUCCACCCCCUGCUGUAGGCAGGGACACCUCCCUCCAGAGCAGGUUGCUCACAGCCCCCCAUCCAGCCUCGCCUUGAAUGCUUCCAGGGAGGGGGCAUCCACAAACUCACUGUGCAACCUGUUCCAGUGUCUCACCAACCUCACAGUAAAGAAUUUCUUCCUAUUAUCUAGUCUAAAUCUGCCCUCUUCCAGUUUAAAGCCACUGAGAGCUAGAAAGCCAAAUGUUUCACUCUUUCAUGACUGCUUAAGCAAGUGUCUUAUGCCCAUAGGUGUGUCUAAAGCUCUGCCAGGUUUGGGCACCUGAUUUUCUGUAAAGAGCUUUUUUUCUUUUCUGGUCAGUAGUGAACCCUGUACCUUCCUGCCUGCUAUUUUAGCUGGAGCCAAGAAUGCAGUGUGUUGCGGAAGUGCCAGCCAAAGCUGGUUAUAACCUGACUGCUCUGCCUUGGCAAACACCUGCUCUGAUUCAUGCUGCUGUUGUGCUAAUAUUAUGAGUGCUGGGGUUUUCAUCGAGUUUGUACAAUGACAGUGUUGUCUGAUGCUCCACGGACACAGAAGGCAGAGGGCUGCAUUGGAUGGGGCAGUGGAUGCUCCAUUCCUGGAUGCAUUCAAGGCCAGGCUGGAUGUGGCUCUGGGCAGCCUGGUCUGGUGGUUGGCGACCCUGCACAUAGCAGGGGGGUUGAAACUACAUGAUUAUUGUGGGCCUUUUCAACCCAGGCCAUUCUGUGAUUCAAUGAUCCAGGCUCUCUGCCAUAGUUUCCUAACUUCUGUGCUAUGCUUACUGCUGUGCAUAUAUUUGAAGUGAAACAAGCAUCCUCCACUUGUUAACCAGCCUUGGCCGGUAUAUUUCAGUCUUGCGUUUAAGUACGGGGCAGAAGAAGUUGUGACACCAAAUACAAGCUUUGUUACUUCAAGAAUUAUUCCAAAGCUCUUCUUCACUGGGACUGCAGAAAAAAAAAGUCUCAUGGAGCCUUUUGUGCUGCGGAGCAUUAUCACUCCAUGCUUUUCCCACUGACUUAGCCCUGCCAUAAACUGUGCAGCUCCUCAUUCAGCUUACACAGUGCUGCAGCUCUCUGUCGUGCUUUGUCAAAUACAGUGUCUAUUUACACUUAAAUUAUUCAUUUCAUAAUUAGCUUAUGAAGUACUUUGAAGGCACAGCAGAAAGUAUUACAUUAAGUGAUACUAUUGGGCAGACAAUGCAGACAAUUACAUAGUAACACCAUUAAAAAGCCAUUGCCAGACUCAAAGGUAAAAUUAAGUCGUAAGUGCCUACUUUAUAUCCAAAUGUUACAUCUGUUGACACAGUACAACCUAAAACACUGAAAAUAAGCUUUAAUCUCUUUUUAGACACAGUCCUCCAGCUAGGAACUGCUGCAGACCUGACAGGUGUAUGGGAGGCUCGCAAGCAGCUGCUGUGGGUCAGCCUUCAUGGAAGAUUAUAGCUGGAAGCUGUGCAACCAGGGCUCGACCAGCAAUAGUGAAGGAAAAGACUGAAGACACCUACAAAUCAGUGCCAGAGCCCUAUAGCAGCCACCGGGAGCCUGCACCACACACCUGUAUCUUCCCAUACAGUCUUGUAUGUGAGAUGUUUCAUGUGGGGAAAUGUCUUAAGGUAACCAAGAGGGAAUGCUGAGCACAGAUUGGUGUGAACUCCCAUGUUUUCCAGAUCCGAGGUGCCAGACUCAUAUGGAGACAGCCCAGGUUAGUCUCGUGAGGACAGCGAUCUGAACUGAACAGAGCUCAUGUGUUCCACUUAUAACACAGCCCUUGUGCACGAAUAAAGGUUUCCAGUUUACAUUUUCCCACCUUUGUUGGGCAAGAGGCACAAUUUCAGGUUCCAGCCAGAAAACGAGAAAGUAACUGCUGAGCACCCUUAGUGCCAGCUAAGUGGAGUUUCUCAAAUCCUGGGUUUCUGUUGAGGUACCACCAACCUGCCCACAUCCUGCUUCAGGUAUUAAGUGCCUUUUUGGAUCCUUCUUUGGAAUGCCUUGCAUUCUUGCUGAUCCCUGGGACUUAGCAGGCAGCUUUAGAAGCCUGUUAGACUGAUCAUCAGACCUUGACCUGAUCUUAUCAGUAAACUCAGGCAAGGUUUUGGAAUCAGAAUCCCUUUAUCUUAAACCCUAAAGUUUAUUCAUUUUGUCAUUAAGUUAGUUUAAUAGAAGAAAAAAAAAGUG